rnacentral:rRNA from 1 species
GAUGAACGCUGGCGGCGUGCCUAAUACAUGCAAGUCGAGCGAACAGACGAGGAGCUUGCUCCUCUGACGUUAGCGGCGGACGGGUGAGUAACACGUGGAUAACCUACCUAUAAGACUGGGAUAACUUCGGGAAACCGGAGCUACUACCGGAUAAUAUAUUGAACCGCAUGGUUCAAUAGUGAAAGACGGUUUUGCUGUCACUUAUAGAUGGAUCCGCUCCGCAUUAGCUAGUUGGUAAGGUAACGGCUUACCAAGGCAACGAUGCGUAGCCGACCUGAGAGUGUAAUCGGCCACACUGGAACUUGGCCACGGUCCAGACUCCUACUGGAGGCAGCAGUGGGGAAUCGUCCGCAAUGGGCGAAAGCGUGACGGAGCAACGCCGCGUGAGUGAUGAAGGUCUUCGGAUCGUAAAACUCUGUUAUUAGGGAAGAACAAAUGUGUAAGUAACUAUGCACGUCUUGACGGUACCUAAUCAGAAAGCCACGGCUAACUACGUG